ensembl:rRNA 5S_rRNA 5S ribosomal RNA
CCCCACAGCAGCCCAGGACCUCCUGGUGGGGGUCAGGGUCUGGCCUGGCCAGUACUUGCAUGGAAGACCGCCUGGGAAUACCAGAUGCUGUAGACU